UACAUGGGGUGCAAACGUUGCUCGGAAUUAUUGGGCGUAAAGCGCACGUAGGCGGUUUGUUAAGUCGGAUGUGAAAUCCCUCGGCUCAACUGAGGAAGUGCAUCCGAAACUGGCAGGCUUGAGUACUAAAGAGGGUCGCGGAAUUCCCGGUGUAGAGGUGAAAUUCGUAGAUAUCGGGAGGAACACCGGUGGCGAAGGCGGCGACCUGGGUAGAUACUGACGCUGAGGUGGCGAAAGCGUGGGGAGCAAACAGG
rnacentral:rRNA from 1 species